AGUGAACGCUGGCGGUAGGCCUAACACAUGCAAGUCGAACGGCAGCACAGUAAGAGCUUGCUCUUACGGGUGGCGAGUGGCGGACGGGUGAGGAAUACAUCGGAAUCUACUUUUUCGUGGGGGAUAACGUAGGGAAACUUACGCUAAUACCGCAUACGACCUACGGGUGAAAGCAGGGGAUCUUCGGACCUUGCGCGAUUGAAUGAGCCGAUGUCGGAUUAGCUAGUUGGCGGGGUAAAGGCCCACCAAGGCGACGAUCCGUAGCUGGUCUGGGAGGAUGACCGCCCACACGGGAAUGGGGACACGGUCCAGAUUCCUACGGGAGGCAGAGGGGGGGAAUAUUCGACAACGGGCGCAAGCCUGAUCCAGACAGACCGCGUGGGUGAAGAAGGCCUUCGGGUUUUAAAGCCCUUUUGUUGGGAAAGAAAAGCAGCAGGUUAAUACCCCGAUGUUCUGACGGUACCCAAAUAAUAAGCACCGGCUCACUUCGUG
rnacentral:rRNA from 1 species